UACGAGAACUCUUUAGCUUGCUAAAGAUAGUAAAGUGGCGCACGGGUGAGUAACGCGUGGGUAAUCUACCUCCGAAUCAGGAAUAACCAGCCGAAAGGCUAGCUAAUACCGGAUAAUAUCUAUAGAACUUCGGUUUUAAAGAUCAAAGGUGGUCUCUACAUGUAAGCUACUGUUUGGAGAUGAGCCCGCGUACCAUUAGCUUGUUGGUAGGGUAAUGGCCUACCAAGGCUUCGAUAGUUAGCUGGUCUGAGAGGAUGAUCAGCCACACUGGAACUGACACACGGUCCAGACUCCUACGGGAGGCAGCAGUGAGGAAUUUUGCGCAAUGGGGGAAACCCUGACGCAGCAACGCCGCGUGAGUGACGAAGGCUUUCGGGUCGUAAAGCUCUGUCAAGUGGGAAGAACAUGUUUGAUGCUAAUACCAUCAUGCAUUGACGGUACCACUGAAGGAAGCACCGGCUAACUCCGUGCCAGCAGCCGCGGUAAUACGGGGGGUGCAAGCGUUAUUCGGAAUUAUUGGGCGUAAAGGGCGCGUAGGCGGUCUUUUAAGUCAGAUGUGAAAGCCCGGGGCUCAACCCCGGAAGUGCAUUUGAAACUAAGGGACUUGAGUAUGGGAGAGGGAAGUGGAAUUCCUGGUGUAGAGGUGAAAUUNGUAGAUA
rnacentral:rRNA from 1 species